GGGAGGCGCGUCCUACAUGCAGUCGAACGAAGGCUUCGGCCUUAAUGGCGCACGGGUGCGUAACGCGUGGGAAUCUGCCCCUCGGUUCGGAAUAACAGCGAGAAAUUGCUGCUAAUACCGGAUGAUGACGUAAGUCCAAAGAUUUAUCGCCAAGGGAUGAACCCGCGUAAGAUUAACUAGUUGGCGUGGUAAAAGCGCACCAAGGCGACAAUCCUUAGCUGGUCUGAGAAGAUGAUCAGCCCCUCUGGGACUGAGACACGGCCCAGACUCCUACGGGAGGCAGAAAUGGGGAAUAUUGGACAAUGGGCGAAAGCCUGAUCAAUGCAAUGACACCGUGAUGAUGAAGGCCUUAGGGUUGUAAAGCUCUUUUACCCGGGAUGAUAGUGUCUUCUACCGGGAGAAUAAGCUCAGGCUUACUCCGUGCACGCAACCGCAGUAAUACGGAGGGAGUUAGUGUUUUUCAGAAUUACUGGGCAUACAGAGCACGCAAGCGUUUUCUGGAUUUAUAGGUGUAAAACCCAGAGCUAAGCUCUGGAAUUGCCUUUUAGUACAGAACCUCUUGCACCACGAGAGAACUCCCCGGAAUACUGAGCGACUAGGUUAAAUACGAAGAUAUUCGAAUGAACUCCAUAGGCGAGAGAUGCUUACAGACCAUGUAUAACCCCUAUUGCGUAAACACCUGACUUAGCUGCUACUGACAUUGCCCUGGGAAACCAUGCCGAGCAAAAAGAAUAAUAUACCGUGGGAUACCAUGGUGUAUAACAGGGAUACUCUAUGCUUUCGAUACACCGCUAGGGAC
rnacentral:rRNA from 1 species